rnacentral:lncRNA from 1 species
CGUUCCUUGUAGGCCACCGGCCUUUCUACAUGUAUCAAAUAUUUUAAAAUCCGAAAUGACAUUUAUUCGAAGAGUCUAAAAGUCAAACCAGGAUUUUUCAGCUAGGUCAAUAUGGUUAAAACUAUGAACACAUAAUAAUUUAUGUGUUCAAACAGAUAAGCGCUGAGAAUUUAUGGAAUUACAAAUAACUAAAAGAGAACCAAACUAUUAAGAAUGUACAUCAACGUAUGAGGAAAAAUUUUCAGACUAUUCACGAUAAUCUUUCUAUAUCUUUAUUCUUUAACAAAUAGGAAGCUCUACCCAGCAACAACUUCAAUCAAUCGCGAAAUAAAAAUGGAGGGGUCCAUGUUCUUGCAAGACUUACAAAACUUUUAGCACUGUCAUAGUUGGAUGGAUGAGGAACUGAACUCGAAUAGCUUAUGAGAUAUCACAUAAGCUUACUCUCAAACUAACUUCCACAAGAUUUCUGCAUUGCUUUCAUGUAAUGGAAGACCAAGAUUUAUACGAUGGAAGGAGUUUGUUGCAGACAAGGCAAUCUACAUAUCAGAUAUCAGGUAAAAGAGGAUAAUAAUGGUGACAGCAAGAAGGAAGAUGAUUUGAAAUGCAGGCCGUCUAUCCAUGAUUAAUUAAUUAUCACCAAAAAAUUCUCCUCUACCAUCCCAGGGUCAACUUUCAAAUGAUUUUCCAACCAUGCUGCCCUUCAAUUUAUAGUCCCAUCCCCACACUUAUACUCAGGAAAGUAGUUGAGAAAUGUUUUGCUUCCAAGUUCCAAGCUCGUCAACUCCAUUGAAGAGGAAGUUUCUAAUUGGUUCCUACCAAAUAAUGAUAAUGUGAAACAACUACAUAAAGAAAUAUAAAAUAUGAUGCUCGAUAACCCUAAACAGAUACCUAAGCAGGAGUCCUCCUAAUUAGUCUUGUCAAAACUUGAUAACCUGGAUCCUGAUAUUCAGAGUUUUCCAUCAGCCUUCUGUUAAAUUUUUGUUUCAUGAAUUGUCUUUUUAAUGAACCUAAUCAAAUUACAUCAUAAACUUCAGAUAAGAUGAACAUUGCAAAUUGGACCUCUGGAUGUCACAGACACAUAAACUCGUAUAUACAGCUAUAACCAUCAUAGACUAAUGAAUAUGCAGCAUUUGUUUUCUACACAAAAAAAAUAAAAUAAUAAUAAUAACAACAACAACAAUGAUAAUAAUAAAAUAAAGUGCACCAAAGUGUUAAUUGAACCAUUUCCCCGUGAUCUGAGAAUGUUUACACGGCACUUUAACCGCCACCGUGUAACUAGUGCGGAUUGCAGUUGCUUUUUAUUCACUAAUGACUCGUAAUAAGUUCAUCAUGAAUUAAGAAGAUAAAUCUAACAUAUCCAUUAGCAAACAAGAUUCACGACUACAGUACACAAAGAUGGGGGAAAUAAAUACAAUAACUUGACAUAUGUGAGAAAGCACAAUGUUACCUCUCUUUUCUGUCUCCAUGUCAGAUACCUAUGCUGUGCUUGG